AACGAACGCUGGCGGCAUGCCUAACACAUGCAAGUCGAACGAACCCUUCGGGGUUAGUGGCGCACGGGUGCGUAACGCGUGGGAACCUACCAUCAGGUUCGGAAUAACAGUUAGAAAUGACUGCUAAUACCGGAUAAUGUCUUCGGACCAAAGAUUUAUCGCCUUUUGAUGGGCCCGCGUAAGAUUAGGUAGUUGGUGGGGUAAAAGCCUACCAAGCCGACGAUCUUUAGCUGGUCUGAGAGGAUGAUCAGCCACACUGGGACUGAGACACGGCCCAGACUCCUACGGGAGGCAGCAGUGGGGAAUAUUGGACAAUGGGCGAAAGCCUGAUCCAGCAAUGCCGCGUGAGUGAUGAAGGCCUUAGGGUUGUAAAGCUCUUUUACCAGGGAUGAUAAUGACAGUACCUGGAGAAUAAAGCUCCGGCUAACUCCGUG
rnacentral:rRNA from 1 species